rnacentral:rRNA from 1 species
AACGAACGCUGGCGGCAGGCUUAACACAUGCAAGUCGAACGCGAACACCUUCGGGUAAGUAGAGUGGCAGACGGGUGAGUAACACGUGGGAAUCUACCUAGUUCUACGGGAUAGCCAUUGGAAACGAUGAUUAAUACCGUAUACGCCCUAUGGGGGAAAGAUUUAUCGGAAUUAGAUGAGCCCGCGUUAGAUUAGUUUGUUGGUGGGGUAAUGGCCUACCAAGACUACGAUCUAUAGCUGGUUUGAGAGGAUGAUCAGCCACACUGGAACUGAGACACGGUCCAGACUCCUACGGGAGGCAGCAGUGGGGAAUAUUGGACAAUGGGCGCAAGCCUGAUCCAGCCAUGCCGCGUGAGUGACGAAGGCCUUAGGGUUGUAAAGCUCUUUUAACAGGGAAGAUAAUGACGGUACCUGUAGAAUAAGCUCCGGCUAACUUCG